GAGAGAGAGAGAGAGAGAGAGAGAGAGAGAGAGAGAGAGAGAGAGAGAGAGAGAGAGAGAGAGAGAGAGAGAGAGAGAGAGAGAGAGAGAGAGAGAGAGAGAGAGAGAGAGAGAGAGAGAGAGAGAGAGAGAGAGAGAGAGAGAGAGGCAGGCCACGAUAGGCCGGACAGUGAGAGAGAGAGAGGCAGGCCACGAUAGGCCGGACAGUGUGAGAGAGAGAGAGGCAGACCACGAUAGGCCGGACAGUGAGAGAGACCACGAUAGGCCACAGAAAAGACCCCGGCGGGUCACAGUGGGAACGGCCCCGGCGGGCCACAGUGGGAACGGCCCCGGCGGGCCACAAAAGAAAGCCACGAAGGCCGCAGAGAAAAGGCCUAGCUAGGCCACAGAGGAGGAUGUCCAAAUUGACCAUAGUGAGAAAGCCAAGAGGCCGUAGAAUGAAGUGAAAUGCAGUAUGCACAGAGAGGAAGGCCAUGUAAUUAGACCACGGUGGGAACACCACGAGAUGGGUAACAGAGGGGAAGGCCACGAAAGACGGGCCACAAAAAGAAAGGACAAGUUAAGCCACAGUAAUCAGAGGUUGUUGGGAGAAAUAUGAAGAGGAAUUGUACCAGCACCAUUAUUUGCAUAUAGAUUACCUUGAGGACAGCUUGAUAUACCUUAAGAUGUUUAGUAUUUCAGGUCUAAUGUGGAAUUCAAAUGCGGAGGAUGACCAUCUUCCCAGUAGCUUCAUAUCUGAUGUUUGUACUCCGAGUUUAACAGCAUUAGUGACCAGUGUAUAGAAGCGGUGACAGACCGCAGCUUCUAAACGUGACUACAUUGAGCUGAACCAGCUGCAGAGACAAAGGCCCUGAUAGGCCGUGAAAGAACGCUAGAAGAGGCCGUAGAGAGUAUAGCUGCUAAGGCCAUGACGGAAGCCUGCGAGAG
rnacentral:lncRNA from 12 species